rnacentral:rRNA from 1 species
UACGGAGGGUGCGAGCGUUGUCCGGAAUCACUGGGCGUAAAGGGCGCGUAGGCGGCCGUGCAAGCGUGGGGUGAAAGUCCGGGGCUCAACCCCGGAUCGGCCUCGCGAACUGCAGGGCUCGAGCACUGUAGAGGCGGGUGGGAUUCCGGGUGUAGCGGUGGAAUGCGUAGAGAUCCGGAAGAACACCGGUGGCGAAGGCGGCCCGCUGGGCAGUGGCUGACGCUGAGGCGCGACAGCGUGGGGAGCAAACAGG